rnacentral:rRNA from 1 species
UACGUAGGGGGCAAGCGUUGUCCGGAAUUACUGGGCGUAAAGAGCUCGUAGGUGGUUUGUCGCGUUGUUCGUGAAAACUCACAGCUUAACUGUGGGCGUGCGGGCGAUACGGGCAGACUAGAGUACUGCAGGGGAGACUGGAAUUCCUGGUGUAGCGGUGGAAUGCGCAGAUAUCAGGAGGAACACCGGUGGCGAAGGCGGGUCUCUGGGCAGUAACUGACGCUGAGGAGCGAAAGCGUGGGUAGCGAACAGG